GACGAACGCUGGCGGCGUGCUUAACACAUGCAAGUCGAACGAUGAAGAAGAGCUUGCUCUUCGGAUUAGUGGCGAACGGGUGAGUAACACGUGGGCAACCUGCCCCUAACUCUGGGAUAACUCCUCGAAAGAGGUGCUAAUACCGGAUACGAAACUGGGAGACAUCUUCACAGUUUGGAAAGUUUUUCGGUUAGGGAUGGGCCCGCGGACUAUCAGCUUGUUGGUGAGGUAACGGCUCACCAAGGCGACGACGGAUAGCCGGCCUGAGAGGGCGACCGGCCACACUGGGACUGAGACACGGCCCAGACUCCUACGGGGGGCAGCAGUGGGGAAUAUUGCGCAAUGGGCGAAAGCCUGACGCAGCGACGCCGCGUGAGGGAUGAAGGUCUUCGGAUUGUAAACCUCUUUCAGUAGGGACGAAGCGAAAGUGACGGUACCUAAAGAAGAAGCACCGGCUAACUACGUGCCAGCCGCCGCAGUAA
rnacentral:rRNA from 1 species